GACGAACGUUGGCGGCGUGCUUAAUACAUGCAAGUCAACUGAAGCACCGGUAGUAAUACUGGUGUGGAGGUGGCGCACGGGUGAGUAACACGUAGGUAAUCUGCCUUCAGGUCUGACAUAACCCCGAGAAAUCGGGGCUAAUAGCAGAUGAUGCAGCGGCUUGACAUCAAGACAGUUGUUAAAGCUUCGGCGCCUGAAGAUGAGCCUGCGUCUGAUUAGCUAGUUGGCGGAGUAAUGGCCCACCAAGGCUACGAUCAGUAACUGGUCUGAGAGGAUGAUCAGUCACACUGGAACUGAGACACGGUCCAGACUCCUACGGGAGGCAGCAGUAAGGAAUAUUGCUCAAUGGGAGAAAUCCUGAAGCAGCAACGCCGCGUGAGGGAUGAAGGGCUUUUGCUCGUAAACCUCUGUAGUGAGGGAAAAAUUUCCACUCUGUGGAAUAUGAUGGUACCUCAAAAGU
rnacentral:rRNA from 1 species